GACGAACGCUGGCGGCGUGCUUAACACAUGCAAGUCGAACGGAAAGGCCCUGCUUUUGUGGGGUGCUCGAGUGGCGAACGGGUGAGUAACACGUGAGUAACCUGCCCUUGACUUUGGGAUAACUUCAGGAAACUGGGGCUAAUACCGGAUAGGAGCUCCUGCUGCAUGGUGGGGGUUGGAAAGUUUCGGCGGUUGGGGAUGGACUCGCGGCUUAUCAGCUUGUUGGUGGGGUAGUGGCUUACCAAGGCUUGGACGGGUAGCCGGCCUGAGAGGGUGACCGGCCACAAUGGGACUGAGAUACGGCCCAGACUCCUACGGGAGGCAGCAGUGGGGAAUAUUGCACAAUGGGCGGAAGCCUGAUGCAGCAACGCCGCGUGCGGGAUGACGGCCUUCGGGUUGUAAACCGCUUUCGCCUGUGACGAAGCGUGAGUGACGGUAAUGGGUAAAGAAGCACCGGCUAACUACGUG
rnacentral:rRNA from 1 species